rnacentral:rRNA from 1 species
UACGUAGGUCCCGAGCGUUGUCCGGAUUUAUUGGGCGUAAAGCGAGCGCAGGUGGUUUAUUAAGUCCGGUGUAAAAGGCAGUGGCUCAACCAUUGUAUGCAUUGGAAACUGGUAGACUUGAGUGCAGGAGAGGAGAGUGGAAUUCCAUGUGUAGCGGUGAAAUGCGUAGAUAUAUGGAGGAACACCGGUGGCGAAAGCGGCUCUCUGGCCUGUAACUGACACUGAGGCUCGAAAGCGUGGGGAGCAAACAGG